GGCCGAAGCUUAAGUCGAGUACAGGGUCGACGAGAUCGGAAGAGUCCGGCAUCCCCGAUGAAUAUCUUCGUAGAAAGAGAAAGAGACGAUGGAGACCAAAGUGUAGCAAGUAGACAAAGCGCCACCGCCGGAGGCCCAACCCAUCUUUUCACAACCACCACCGCCACCACUUUCCGAAAUAGCUUAAAUGGUUUGUGGAUCUUGCCGCCGCCUGCCUACAUACCCACUAGGAGCCAAGCAUGUGCUACAAGGUUUUUCUCUCUUCCGUUUUCACCUAGUUAUCGGUUAUUGUUCGCAGUCUUAUUUUGUCAUUUUUUUGUUCCCUUGUUUCAGAUCUAAAGCACAAUAGAGGUUGCUUAUGGUAGGUAGGUUAUACUUGAACUUAAAAAGAAAAUUAUGGGUAAACAUGUUUUUUGUGAACCUUCUUUGCAAGAUGGAAUCUUACUACUUGAUAUUCAAUUGGGUACUUCUACAUCUACAUUUUGUUUCGAAGAAUUUGGCCAAGGUUUGCAUCUUUUUGCUUCUGUUUGUGGUUGAGAACUCAGCUUCUAUUCAUUUAUAUUAUGACUGUGCAGGUUCCAUUCUGUGUCAUGGUAGCUUUGAUUAUGGGUAUUAACAUAGAUCUCAAUUUCAGUCUCCUUGAGACUGGCUCUCUAGCUUUAUCAAUCCUAGCCAUAGCCUUCACAUUGCUGUUUAAUCCAUUGCUGCAAGCUGGUCUUGGUAUGGAGAAGAUAUCUGCAGUGAGAUGAAAAUGCUUAGAACAUAAUGCUGCUGCUUUGGCAUGGUUCUCGGUUUCAAUCUAAUUAUCUUUUACUUUGUUGACCUUGUCGGUAAGAUUGCUCAGUAUUGCUACACAAAUGAGGAGUAAGUGAAGUUGCCCUGUGAGAGAUCUACAAGCUCAAGUAGUGAAAUUUGUGUUUACAUGGUAGAAGAGCGAUUUGCUCCUUCCUUUUCUGGUGGUUCUUUUAGUUUUGUAUAUG